rnacentral:rRNA from 1 species
CCUACGGGGAGGCUGCAGUGGGGAAUAUUGGACAAUGGGCGAAAGCCUGAUCCAGCCAUGCCGCGUGUGUGAAGAAGGCCUUCGGGUUGUAAAGCACUUUCAGUGGGGAAGAAAGCCUUGGGGCUAAUACCCUCGAGGAAGGACAUCACCCACAGAAGAAGCACCGGCUAACUCCGUGCCAGCAGCCGCGGUAAUACGGAGGGUGCGAGCGUUAAUCGGAAUUACUGGGCGUAAAGCGCGCGUAGGCGGUCUGAUAAGCCGGUUGUGAAAGCCCCGGGCUCAACCUGGGAACGGCAUCCGGAACUGUCAGGCUAGAGUGCAGGAGAGGAAGGUAGAAUUCCCGGUGUAGCGGUGAAAUGCGUAGAGAUCGGGAGGAAUACCAGUGGCGAAGGCGGCCUUCUGGACUGACACUGACGCUGAGGUGCGAAAGCGUGGGUAGCAAACAGGAUUAGAUACCCGUGUAGUC